UAUGGUUAAGGUUAUGAUUAGGUUAAGUUUAGGUUAUGGUGUAGGUUAUGGUAAGGCUACAGUUUAGGUUAAAUUUAGGUUAUGGUUAAGGUUAUGAUUAGGUUAAGUUUAGGUUAUGGUUAAGGUUAUGAUUAGGUUAAGUUUAGGUUAUGGUGUAGGUUAUGAUAAGGCUACAGUUUAGAUUAAGUCUAGGUUCUGGUUAAGGAUGUGAUAUGGCUACAGUUUAGGUUAAGUUUAGGUUAUGGUUAAGGAUAUGAUAAGGCUACAGUUUAGGUUAAGUUUAGGUUAUGGUUAAGGAUAUGAUAAGGCUACAGUUUAGAUUAAGUUUAGGUUAUGGUUAAGGAUAUGAUAAGGCUACAGUUUAGGUUAAGUUUAGGUUAUGGUUAAGGAUAUGAUAAGGCUACAGUUUAGGUUAAGUUUAGGUUAUGGUUAAGGAUAUGAUAAGGCUACAGUUUAGGUUAAGUUUAGGUUA